rnacentral:lncRNA from 1 species
AUGAAUCGGGAGUUUCAUCAUAAGAAAGCGACACACCAUUUUGUCUUUCAGUUGCCAGACUUUUUUCAACUCAAAAGAGGAGAAGUAUCACCACGCAUUACAAACUUUGAGGAGGGAGUGCUAAAAUACUCGAAUGCGCGCCGAAUAAGUUUGUGGAAUGAUUUUUUACCAAAAUUUUACAACAGCAGCACGCAUGUAGAAUUAUCAAAGUGUGAGUCCAUAAUUACGAGGCUAUCACUUCAAGCUGAUCAACCAUAUCGCAGUGUUAUGUAUACUCUACUUGGACUCGUAAUAGUACUUCUUUCAUUCCUCACAAUUUGCAUUAUUCUUCUCAAACGAACUAAAACAGAGAAAGAUCUGACCUUUUUUCGACAGCAGAUGGACUAAACAGAACAGCGGAGGGUUCCACUUUACUCCUGGCAUUAUCAUCUUACAACACAAAAAUUUUGAUCACACGUCUGUCUGAACGAUAAUUUUUGCACAGAUCUUUGCCUUUUGGAAAUGAUUGAUGAUAUAAACCCAUAAUUCAGGAAAACAAUAGUCCCACCUACAGUGAUAAUUAUAAUUUAAGGUGUCCUGCUGGUAGUAAACAUCCUGAUCCAUUGGUAAAGAACCGAGAUAGAAAUUUUCUGCAUCUUUAACUUUAACCAGCCACUACUCUAAAAUAGUAGUGAAGAGCAAUCUACAGUUUUCGCCAAAAAUUGUCUCUAUGCUUUUUCCAACGAGGGAUUUUACAAAGAGGGCCCCCAUUUCAAAGUAAGUUGCUCCCACUGCCGACCCUGAAGGACGGGGGCUUACUGCCCCCAUAAAAAGUCGACCCUGAAUUUACUUGCGGAAGUUCUUUUCAAAUCGCAAGUCGAUAUUCAUAACUCGUUUUCAUAAAUUAAAAAGUAUCCAUACUUUUUUUACGCCCUGUAGAAGUAAUCCCCAAUGCCUAAUUUGAAUGACUACUGAUGAUCAGUUGGCCAGUCAUGCAAAUAUAGGGAAGAUUUGGAGCCCAGAAUAGGACUGCAAGAAGUGGAGAAACUUCUCCUCCUCCAAUGAUGGCUCUUUUUUCUCCAUGAAAUUGGAAAUACUUAUAAAUUGGACAAGUUUCAUUCUUUAUUUGAUGAGGAAAACUUUUUGUAAACAAUUACAGUGGCAUUCUUGGUGCUUCAGGGACAGUAAAUUCAUGUGUUCUUCGUAAAGAAUUUUGGGGACACAGGUGAUCCCUCGGACCUUGAACAGUAAUACUUAAGUUGAUCCAUUUAAUAGUCCAUUCUCUACACAAAAAACACUGCACUUUUUGCUUGGAAUAUGCCGCUUUCAAGGCUCAUUGGUAGUGUCCUCAGGAUACCUGGAUGCUUCCCUAAUUGAGUGUCCCCAGUAGUUUCCAUUGCUAUAAUAUGACAACAAUGGUUAAAUCACAUUUUUCUCUCAUUCACCAUACUAGUGCCGACUAACACACACACUAUUUUCUACAUUAUUCUGACUAAAAUAAAAAUUAAGCAGAAUAUUCUUCUUCUUCUUCAUCUUCUUCUUCUUCUUCCUGAACGACUAGGGCAUAGUCCUAUUUAUCAGGUAAUCCAGGAUCGAGCACAAACUAUAUAAAUAUUAAAAAUCUAAAAAUCACUACAAAUAAAGGACUUGUCAAAUCAAUAAAAACAGCAUAAAAUCUUCAAUCGUCCUUAGGAGAAAAGAGCCAGCUUUUAAGUGAUUCGAUGGACGCCAUAUUUUGUGUCAGAACGGCAUGCGAUAUAUCGCAUCAAUUGGUUCCAUUUUUUCAGCUACUUGUCAUUUUUCUCCAAUUUUGAGAUCGCAAUUCUGUUCUCAGGAGACCAAAGCACUCACUUACCAAUUUUAACAAAGAUAUUCGACGUAAUAAAGGCGUGGUUUUUUCAGAGAGAAAACAUCGCAUUCGAUACUGAUAUCGAAACUGCCCUCGAAUGCGAUAUUUUCUCUCUAAAAAAACCACGCCUUUAUUACGUUGAAUUUCUUUGUUAAAAUUGGUAAGUGAGUGCUUUGGUCUCCUGACAACAGAAAUGCGAUCUCAAAAUUGGAGAAAAAUGACGAGUAGCUGAAAAAUGGAACCAAUUGAUGCGAUAUAUCGCAUGCCGUUCUGACACAAAAUAUGGCGUCCAUCGAAUCACCUUAAGCCCAUCUCUUGGGCGGUCGUCCAGGUAAUCUUUUCCCUAAGGGUUGUCCUAUCAUACAGAUUUUAGCUAGUCUCUCUUCAUCCAUUCGGUCAACUUGCUCCAACCACAUAAAUCUCCUCACACUGGUCCACACGGCUACGUCUUGCACCUCAAGAGCAUUCCGGAUGGACUCACUGGUUUGCCGAUCGCAAAGUGUAAAACCCGCAAUCUUUCUUAAAACUUUCAUCUCAACAGUGCGAAAUUGUUGUUUGGUGCGCUUUGUUCCAGCUCUAGUCUCUACGGCAAACGUUGACACCAGCCAAACGAUGGUCUUGUAGACCCUGACAGAAUAUUCAAUGUGCAAAUUACCCUAAUUUAUCUCAAAUUUGCGUGUCCCCUGUACCUGAUUCUGGACAUUAAACAGAUAUUGCAGCACAAGUGAUUACUUGGGAAAACUCCAUUGGAAAUGGAAGUUAAUACCUUUAGAUUUGAGAAAAAAAUAGGUUUAAUUUUUGUUACUUCAUCGAUAAUUUUUUCACGCACUAGAAUCAUUAUGGCCAGCAACAGUCCAUAACAGUCAGGAGAGACAUGACAACGAUGUCACAAGCUCUAAAUAAUUACCAUAAGUAGGAGUGAAACGCCGGUGCUCUACCGUUCUAACUCAGGCGGCUGCGGGCGGCGCUGGGUGGGCGGCUGCGAGCGGCGGCGCUGGCUGGUGGGGCUCGCUGCAUCGCCGCGUGCAGUUAGCACGUGGUGUUCAAUUAGCACGUGGCGUUGUGGUUAAAAUAUAGAUUUGCAGCGGAUGAGGGCGCACAGAGGUGAUUCCACAAACAUGAAAGAAAUAAAAUGAAUUACUUAUCUGGUGUUGAUGAGUGUAGCAAGUGGAGCUCCGCCCAAACGAUUUUGAGUAGGGAAUUUAUAAGAUGAAAAGACGCGGCGCGCAGUUUAACGAAAAAAAAAUGUUACUUAAAAACUCGUUAAGAGAAUCAGAGAAGAAUGGAGUUUAUAAAUAAUACUAAAAAUUAUUAAACUGCGCUGUAUCGCGGAAAAAAGGAGGGGGGCAGGUUGAUAAAAAUAGAAACAAAAUUUACGAGGGGCAAUGAAAAAAAUGUAAUGUAUGAACAAUGAAACAAAAUUUUAAGAAAGGCAACGAGAAAAAUAUGUAAUAGGUAUCAACAAUGAAAACAACUUAAUCCGUGAGGAUCUUAUAGUUUAGACAGCCGCUUUGGGCGUCUUUUCCUUCGAAAAGGAGGCUGACUGGAUCCGUGAGGAGAGUGUUGAUAUCGUCAUCCGUCAUUUUGUAUCGCGAGGGGAGGAAAAGAUCCCUCGGCUCCCCGUCCUCGCAGGUUAGAGUGAAAACCAAUUUUGGCCCGAAACGGCCCGUCACAAUGUUUUUAAUGUUUACCACGGGAAACACACUCCCGGGCCGAAUGUCUUUCGAUUUUAACGUUUCCGGAAAAGCCGGAGUCCGAUUAAAAGCUUCCGUCACUGCUUCUCGUCGGUUUCGUGCGGCGUUAGCCGGCGAUUUGUCCACUUUUGACGCGGGUGCGACGUAAGGCGAGUAACUGCUGCGUUUUAGCGACGCGCACUUUCCCUUGCGAUCGGGUUCGCGUUGCGUUGAGGUGCAAGCCGGCCGGUACAACAAUUCGAACAGUUCCGGAUCCUCCGUUUCCAGAUCGAUGUUUUGGGGUGCGGGAGAUUUGCCUUCCAUCGCAAAAAAAAGCGGAAACAAAAAACUGAAGUUAAUCUUAAGAAACUUGGGCAAGCGCGAUUUCAGAGGGACGACCCGACUGGAGUGCUGGUUCAAUGCUGACUGAGUGUGAGAAAUCGAGCAUCGGAGAACAUUCGCAAAUACAAGUUACUUGAGCGUGAGAAAUUGCGUGGGAGAGGGAGUGACGCAUUCGAAAAAGUGCAAGGGGUCUGUUACUGCAUGAAUGCACAUGUUCGGAAAUGCUUUUUUUGAAAGGAAGCGCUUGUGACUUGAGACUGCAACUAGAAAUGACUCAUUUUUUCUCAGUCUGUUCUUAUUGCGCUGUAACCCCGCACCAGUCAAUUCUCGCAGAUUGAGCGAAUCUUUGUCGUAUGAAAAGUGAAUUUCCUUUUUUCCUCCCCAAUUAAUGGAGGUAUACCUAACAUGAAAAGCGUGGCUAUUUGUGACGGACGAUUACACGCUACAUUAAAACGGGGCGAAAGCGCAGGUGCUAGGUCAGUUUUAGUGCGCGCGUGCGACUCGGCGUGCAAAUCGGCGAAAACCCUGAAUUUGGAAGGUUUGAUAAACAUUUUUCUCGAUAUUGAUCGCGAUAAAAAGAACAAAAAGUGAAGCCAGUACAAGGGGUAAUCGGAGUUCCGCGAGCCCCCGCUGACCUUUCUUCAGAAGAAGAAGACUUUUAACCGCCGACGGUUUACUACAACCAUUAUUUGUCAAUUUUUAUUUUUAAAUUAUUAUUUUUGUUGUUUUUGAUGUUGAUGAUAUAUGUAUAUGUGAUUUUAUAAGAGUUGC